rnacentral:lncRNA from 1 species
GGUGUUAGCUCAUCCAAGGCGGCCUCCUCGGACUUGACGAUGGCGGCGCUUGCAAGCGUUGGUAAUGAUGCGAUUUCCACCAUGACGAUGAGAAGGGUUAGUGCCACCGCAAUGUUCCGGAGUAGGGCCAUUGCUCUUGUUGGCCUCACAGGUGGCUGAGAGGAAUGAUUCAGUAGGAUUUCAGUGAGAUUGAUGUUUUCACCGUGGAGGUCUAUAAAGGUGGUCCUUGCUUUAAAUA